UUUUCAGUGUUUUAAACUAUCCUCAAAACAUAGUUUAUUGAAGAAAUUGUUUUAAAAGUGUUUAAAUAUUGUGAAUGCCCUCGUUUUUAUUUAUAACCGGAAAAAGGUUAUUAUGUCGUACUUGGUCCCAGCGAAAAGUCAUUUAGACAGUAUUAUGUAUAUCUCCAUGAAAGAGUACGUUGUACGUUUAAACUGUGUUCAUCUGAUAUUUUUGAAUGUAUGUUUUGAUGAUAAAAACAAAUAAUUCAACGCGAUGAAUAAUAAUACAAUUUGAACCCCACUCUUGAUUUUUACACGUGUGUAAGCUGAAGUUGAACGCAAGAUGGCUAUUACCUGUUUAGGAUGUUUUGGAUAUAUUUUUAUCGGCCUGGUCUGAUGAGCUAAACCUAACAUGCCGGGUACCUGCUGCAAACAGUUUGGGAAAUGGUUUUUAAUUGUCCUCAACAUCAUAUUUUUUUUACUUGGUAUCGGGUUAUUGGUAGCAGGAAUCAUAUUUAAAAUUAAUGCAGUAUUUGUGGAGGUUUUCCCACCUUGAACAAAGUCCAAGUGGUUGGAAACAACCUUGGCGAUCUUUUGAACAGCGUUUCAUCUUGGUGAUCAUUAUCG